rnacentral:rRNA from 1 species
UUAUUAUGAGAGUUUGAUCCUGGCUCAGGACGAACGCUGGCGGCGUGCCUAAUACAUGCAAGUCGAACGCUUCUUUCUUCCCGAGUGCUUGCACUCAAUUGGAAAGAGGAGUGGCGGACGGGUGAGUAACACGUGGGUAACCUACCCAUCAGAGGGGGAUAACACUUGGAAACAGGUGCUAAUACCGCAUAACAGUUUAUGCCGC